rnacentral:rRNA from 1 species
ACCAGACGAUGCGGUUACCGCGGCUGCUGGCACGGAGUUAGCCGGUGCUUCUUCUGUGAGUGAUGUCCUUCCUGCCGGCUAUUAACCCGCAGGCCUUCUUCCUCACUGAAAGUGCUUUACAACCCGAAGGCCUUCUUCACACACGCGGCAUGGCUGGAUCAGGGUUGCCCCCAUUGUCCAAUAUUCCCCACUGCUGCCUCCCGUAGGAGUCUGGGCCGUGUCUCAGUCCCAGUGUGGCUGAUCAUCCUCUCAGACCAGCUACGGAUCGUCGCCUUGGUGAGCCGUUACCUCACCAACCAGCUAAUCCGACAUAGGCUCAUCCGAUAGCGCGAGGCCCGAAGGUCCCCCGCUUUCCCCCGUAGGGCGUAUGCGGUAUUAGCCUGGG